GACAGUAGAAUACAACAGACUCAAAAUCAACCAGCAGAAGCAAACGCAGCAAGAGCGUUAGCUUGAGAAGGGGGUAGAACACUUAUGAAUGGAUGCAACUGAUCGCCAUAAACCGACAUCAGGUGGGAGAAUGUUCUUCCUACUAUUGCUUUCACUUCACCUUUCUCCACUGGCGACUCCACCACUUGCCCAAAUAUUCUAACCAGGUCCGGUACAUGAGGUAUGAUCUGUCAUUUUGCAUCCAACCACACACCAGGAUUCAACCAAAUGUAAUCUCUACUCUACCCGAGAAAAAAUUACAUGGAGAAAAAAAAUAAUACCUGUGGAUUGGAUGCUAGAACAAGUGAGUAUAUACAGCUGUAUACAGCCAUGGACUCCUCUUGAUCUUCCUUUAGAGGUAGACCUCUUAACAAAACUGGAAGUACCUGGAUCAUAUACAUAUAACUUAGGGAAUGAGUACAGUGUUUCAUAAGGUUGAAGCAAGCAAAAAAAUAUACAAGAAACUGGUCUAUUCAGAGAUCAUACUUGAUUUAGCGGGACUAACUCAGGAUGAACAAGAAUCAUCCUCGCCGUAGCACCUGCUGCAUUAUCCCUAACACCAAGGUCUGUUUCUGACUCCCCAAAAAGCGGGUUAAGUCCACGUAGCACAUCAGCAAAAUAUCUGGUUUUGAAUCAAGGGAAGACAAAUAUGGCAUAUGUGCUGAAAGUCAAUGGACAAAAGUCUUUAUGCCUUCAGUAUUAGUUGAAGUGUAACACUAAAAGGAUACUUGAGAGCAGCUUCACCCCCGUUUUUGCAUAGCUCUCCGACGCAGAAAGCUGCAUUUCUCUUAUUGGUUGGAUGAGAUGACUCCAAUUCUUUGAGCACUAACGGCAUUAUCCUCUGAAAAAACAACAUUCCCAAAUGGUUUGGUUUCAAUACACAGCUCAUGCAACGAGAAAGAAAACAUAAGAUGAGGAAAAAUCACAUCGACAUAGGCAGAGAUUGGAGCACCCAUGUCUUGAGCAACUUCGGCAAGACUAGCAACAACCAUUGUCCUGUCCUGGUCGGGACGUCUAGCUUUCUACAGAACAGAAGAAGUGAAGCAGUAAGUGCCUCAAUUUCAAUGAAAGAAGUUAUGGCUUUAAUCACUAAUACCCACCGCAAAUUUCAUCAACGGCUCAAAGAGUUUUGCAAAGACGGGUUCGAAGUGAGGCCCCAUACACUUUGCAAAGGCGGGGAGGAGGUCGGAAACCGCAUCCAUGAGGACCUCAUCGUGUCCAACAUCAUCAUCGUCAUCACUCUCGUCUUCUACUUGCUGGCAAGCUGCUUUCUCCGUCAGCAGUAGCAAUGUCGCGUCAACAAGAGGUGAUAGAUCUACCAAACGAUGUCGUCAACACAGUACACAAGAGUUUUUUUUAAAUUGAAAUAUCCUGAAGUAACUAUUUUUUAUAAAAUUGAAUCCAACAAGUAAAGAGACACCCACAAUUUUGAAUGGCUGCGUAACCAUAAUCUUUCAUGAUAUCUGCAAUGCUCAAGCAAGCCUGAGCAACAACCUCCUUGUCGUCAUCAUCAGCCAUGGUUUUGAUAUAAAUAUUCAUAACUGUGUCUGAGGUUCACAAAAAAUAUUUCAGUAUCUUCUAGCCAUUCUUGUUGAAAAAGGGUACUGUCUAAUGUGGAUUACCAAGAAUUUCAUUAGCCUUCCCAGUUCCAUCCUAAAUAAGAACCCAAGAAAAUCAGAACAAGGAAAACUAGAAGGGAGCUGUGGCGAGAAAGAUAGAGAUAUAUUCAAGAUCAAGUCCCUUACAUUAUGAGUCUGGAAAAUGGCAUGUGCUGCGGCCAAUAUAUCUGCAAUUCCAACAGAUAAAAGAAAGAUAAAUUUAAAGAAUCAAAAGUAAAAUGACAAGACCAACUCAGUAAGCUUUAAAAUACUAACAGAUCCGAUGAGCUGCAUAUUCUAACAAAACAACAUCAUAUUGGCCAUAUGCUCAACUGUCAGGAGAUUUUAAUCCUAAGACAUGCUGAUGAUUUGGCAAAAAAAAAAAGAUUCGAUGCAUCAAGUAAGCAACAUUGACUGAGCUAUGUCUAUUCAAAUACUCCAAUGGAAGAGGUUCAAGGGUCAUGGAUCAGAUCGUCCGUGUCGGCAUAGUAAUAACAGUGACAAUCCAUUGGAGCAAGAAAUUAAACAAUCAACAGACAGAAAAACUCACGUUUCAGACCAGUAAUUGCUUGAAGCCGAACAUCUUCAUGAAAAUAUCCAGAAUGUUUGUCCAUGAUCUUCAAUGAUUCCUCGAUGUAGCUUACAAGUUAGUUAAGGAGGCAUGAAAAAGGAUUCUUGUAAGACGUCCAAAGAAGAAAAUACAUCAAGGAAAAUUUGAAAGGAUACGGUGCAAAAGAAGAUUUAGUGCGGAGUGCAAAAAGGCCAAGAGCUUGAGUAGCAGCCGCCUUUUCAUCCAAAACUCCUGUUCUCACGCUGAUGUUCCGGAUCCUCGGCUCAUCAUGAGCUUCAUCAUCAGAGGACACCCCACCAAAAUCAUUCACAUCCUCGUCUGACUCAUCAAUGUUGACCGCAGACCCAUCAUCAAGAUUGCAAGAAGCAAAUACCAACGGCAUAACGCGAGGUAGAUACUGCGUAAAAAUGUAUUUUCUUUAGUCAAAAGCUGUUAAGAAGUCUAUUUGAGAGAAACUUAUCCACACCUGAGCAAAACUGUCAUCCAAUAUUUCAGCUACGUUGCUGAAGAAUCCAUGAGUAUACUCUCGCAACUCACUGAACUCCAAUCCAAAUCCCUGAAAUGUUUUAUGAUGGUGAGUUCUUUCUUCCACAAAAACGGCAGUACAGAAACAGUAAGGCAAUUACUGCUAUUGCGGCAUCAAUGAAAGGUGGAAAAAUCGGCUCCAUCCCUUGUUUCCCAACAGACAUUGCGACAAUCCCUACAAGCUCAGUGGACCUUGCACGGGCACGAAGAUCCUCGUCGUUAGUGAGCACCAUGAAGAACUUCAUCGCCUCCAAAACCCUCCCUGCAUAUGGAUUGAAUGCUUGCUCUGCAGCAGCAGCUACCGACCCUAUUGCAGACUGCAAGCAAGUAGCACAAUGCUUAAACCAAUAUUUCGUAAACAGUUCUAAGUAAACUCUACCAAAGGUUGUCUGUGUACCAUGCAUGUCUCUUGCAGGUUACGGGGACUAUUCUCGAGGGCUGCCAUGAGCUUCCCCAUCAAAGGAUCAAGGAACGCAACAAUCUCCGGUCCCAUGUUCUCACAGAAUGCAGCUAAAGCAUAGUAUGACUUCUCCUGUAGACAGUAAUCAGAAACGUUACCAAUAAACUCAAGUUAGCACAAAAAUGCAAAAACACAAUAAACCUAUUAAGUUUUUUACCUUCACAUCGACAGAUGAAUCUUCAAUCGCAUUCAAAACACAAGGAAGAAAGCUCUGAUAAUACGACAAAAUCUCAGGCUGAAGAUGCUCGGCGAACUGGCCUAGCGCAAACGAUGAAGCCCCUCUAACCAUUUUCUCAGGGUCUCUUAUUGCUCCCAAGACUAUAUUAAGAAUAGGCUCCAGCUUCUCCUUCAUAAGAUCAAAGCAACCCUCCGAAAUAACACCAAGAGCUGUCACAGCAGCUUCCCGGAACUUCAGAUCCGUGCUCUGGCCAUACAUGGAAGAAAACUCGAAAACAGUGGGGAACACAUGCUUCGGCAGGUUCAUAGCUAGUGUGUCAAUAACUUCAGCAGCUGCACGAUCAGUAGCAAGAUCAUCAUCAUCAUCGUCAUCAUCUUGAUCGGGUGUCUCAGCGAGUAAGGGGCACAUGACUUGCAAUAUUGGUACGACUAGUUUAUGUUUCUUAAGGAUGUUGUUUUUGUACUUUGCCAACCAUGAAACUAUUUGUAUUGCCUGGUCAAUAAAUGGAAACAUAACAUCAUAACUCAAAACCUUUUUUUCAAUUAAAAAGAGAAUAGUUUAUAAUUAAAAAGAGAAUAGUUUAUCCUAACCUGGUGGCGGGUGCUAAUCUCCAGGGUUUGGUUACAUGAGACUUCAAGAGAGAACUGCACGAUUGAUUUGACGGAAUCUCCAAGAAGAGUAGCGGGAGACUCAAUCAGCUCAUCGAAAAUUUCGAAAGCGAGUAUAGCAACAUCCUCCUCGCCGGAUGCAAGACAUUUUCUUGAUACAUUCAAUAUGCUGGGAACGAAAUCUCGGAACUUGACCUGAUAUAAAUUACAUAAGCACACACAUUCGAAACAGAAAGUAGUAAAACAUUAACCAAAGUAGCUGAGAGUUACCACAUCAUCCCCGUCGCUUGCGAAUUCAAGAAACGAGCCCACUGCCCUGGUGAAGUUGCAGAAGAUUGUAAAGAAGAAAGAUAUUGUAAAAGAGAGCAACAACAUUUCUAUUAACAGAGAAGUAAAAAUUACUUGAGAGCAGCAACUCUAACACGACUGCUGCUUUCAUCUUCCAUGCACUUGAGAAGUAGAGCUUUUAAAUCAGUAAAGUAGGGCCUGAAUGAGUUCCCAAUCGUUUCAGUCAAAGAGCUGAAAAGGAUCAAUGCAACCUACACACAACAACAACAAAAAAAAACAGAUUCAGCUAAGUGAACUUAAGAUGUAUCAAGCAGACAACAAAGUAAAGUUACAUACUUCACGGUGGUCUUCUUGAGCACUCUGACUACACUGGAAGAGAAAGCCAAGCAAGUCAGGCCACUCUCCAGCUGGAACAGCGUACUUCGCUACAACACUCACAACAUUGGCACUCGCACGCCUCACAGGUGGACUAUUUAAACAAAAAACAAAUUCAGUAAACAAAAAAAACUUUCAAAAUCCCAAAUUGAAAAGAGGGAAGUAAAGAGAGAAACCUGUUCUCCACGGUGAUGCUCUCGAUUAAAGACUGUUUAACUUCCUGUUUCGUCUGCGGAGAAAGCUUGGCCCAAUGUCCGGUGAUCCUUUUGCGGAGGAGGACGGCGGCGAGCUGGCGGACGUUGGGGGUUUUAGCGGUGCGGAGGUGCUGGACGAGGGCGGGAACGACCUGAGGAUCCUUGGCGAGACGCUUGAUCUGAUCCUCGGCUUGACGACGAGCGUCGUUGUCAAGAACACUUAUGAAUGGAUGCAACUGAUCGCCAUAAACCGACAUCAGGUGGGAGAAUGUUCUUCCUACUAUUGCUUUCACUUCACCUUUCUCCACUGGCGACUCCACCACUUGCCCAAAUAUUCUAACCAGGUCCGGUACAUGAGGUAUGAUCUGUCAUUUUGCAUCCAACCACACACCAGGAUUCAACCAAAUGUAAUCUCUACUCUACCCGAGAAAAAAUUACAUGGAGAAAAAAAAUAAUACCUGUGGAUUGGAUGCUAGAACAAGUGAGUAUAUACAGCUGUAUACAGCCAUGGACUCCUCUUGAUCUUCCUUUAGAGGUAGACCUCUUAACAAAACUGGAAGUACCUGGAUC
rnacentral:lncRNA from 1 species